AACGAACGCUGGCGGCAUGCCUAACACAUGCAAGUCGAACGAGACCUUCGGGUCUAGUGGCGCACGGGUGCGUAACGCGUGGGAACCUGCCCUUAGGUUCGGAAUAACUCCCCGAAAGGGGUGCUAAUACCGGAUAAUGUCUUCGGACAAAAGAUUUAUCGACUUUGGAUGGGCCGGCGUUGGAUUAGCUAGUUGGUAGGGUAAAAGCCUACCAAGGCGACGAUCCAUAGCUGGUCUGAGAGGAUGAUCAGCCACACUGGGACUGAGACACGGCCCAGACUCCUACGGGAGGCAGCAGUGGGGAAUAUUGGACAAUGGGCGAAAGCCUGAACCAGCUAUGCCGCGUGAGUGAUGAAGGCCUUAGGGUUGUAAAGCUCUUUUACCCGCGAUGAUAAUGACGGUACCGGGAGAAUAAGCACCGGCUAACUCCGUG
rnacentral:rRNA from 1 species